UACGAAGGGUGCAAGCGUUACUCGGAAUUACUGGGCGUAAAGCGUGCGUAGGUGGUUUGUUAAGUCUGAUGUGAAAGCCCUGGGCUCAACCUGGGAAUUGCAUUGGAUACUGGCAGGCUAGAGUGCGGUAGAGGAUGGCGGAAUUCCUGGUGUAGCGGUGAAAUGCGCAGAUAUCAGGAGGAACACCGAUGGCGAAGGCAGGUCUCUGGGCCAUAACUGACGCUGAGAAGCGAAAGCAUGGGGAGCGAACAGG
rnacentral:rRNA from 1 species